rnacentral:rRNA from 1 species
GCAUAUCAAAAGCGGAGGAAAAGAAACCAACAGGGAUUGCCUCAGUAACGGCGAGUGAAGCGGCAAAAGCUCAAAUUUGAAAUCUGGUACCUUUGGUGCCCGAGUUGUAAUUUGAAGAUAGUUUUCUGGUGCUGGCCCUUGUCUAUGUUCCUUGGAACAGGACGUCACAGAGGGUGAGAAUCCCGUCUGGCGGGGUGUCCAGUGCUUUGUAGAUUUCUAUCGACGAGUCGAGUUGUUUGGGAAUGCAGCUCUAAGUGGGUGGUAAAUUCCAUCUAAAGCUAAAUAUUGGCGAGAGACCGAUAGCGAACAAGUACAGUGAUGGAAAGAUGAAAAGAACUUUGAAAAGAGAGUGAAAAAGUACGUGAAAUUGUUGAAAGGGAAGGGUAUUAGAUCAGACUUGGUGUUUUGUGAUUAUCUUCCCUUCUUGGGUUGUGCACUCGCAUUUCACUGGGCCAGCAUCGGUUCGGGUGGUAAGAUAAUGACAUUGGAACGUGGCACUACCUUCGGGUGGUGUGUUAUAGCCCUUGUUGAUGUUGCCUACCUGGACCGAGGACUGCGGCUUUUGCCUAGGAUGCUGGCGUAAUGAUCUAACACCGCCCGUCUUGAAACACG